CUGUCAAGAGAUGUCAAAGUAUUUUGAUUAGAUUAGAGCGAGUUUUUUACUUUUUCCGCUAAUUGUUUCGAAGUAAACCGUGAGAUAAAAUUUAAUAAUGUCCCGUGAAACGAUUUCUCGAUCCCCCCGAGUGUCGUUCAUCCACUACGACAGAGAUUACACGUAAAAUAAUGAGUUAAGGCCACCGCGAGACUUCGUUUAGUUUGUAGGCUCAUUUUAUUUUGUUUUGGUCAUUUCCUGUAUUUAUGACAUUGAAUUUGGAGUAUCAUUUAGUCGACUUAAACCCACAAGAAAUGGCAAGAGACAGAAUUACGAAAAAGUGGGAAGUCUUCGCGGGCCGCAACCGAUUUUACUGCGAUGGCAGGCUGAUGACGGCCCCAAACGGGGGCGUAUUCCUUUUGACAGUAUUUCUUAUCACGGGAACUUGCACCCUGUUUUUUAUCUAUGACUGCCAUUACUUGGCGGAAAACGUAACAAUCGCGAUUCCUAUCAUUGGUGGCUUGCUAUUUAUAUUUACGAUGUCUUCCUUGUUGCGCACCAGCCUUUCAGAUCCAGGUAUUAUUCCAAGAGCGACACCAGAAGAAGCUGCCUAUGUCGAAAAACAAAUCGAAGUCACAAAUUCGGCAAACAGCCCCACUUACAGGCCCCCACCUCGUACGAAAGAGGUCCUAAUCAAAGGGCACACAGUCAAAUUAAAAUAUUGCUUCACUUGUAAAAUAUUUAGGCCGCCGAGGGCCUCACAUUGCAGUCUUUGCGAUAAUUGUGUUGAUAGAUUUGACCAUCACUGCCCUUGGGUCGGAAAUUGUGUCGGUAGACGAAAUUAUCGUUUUUUCUACAUGUUUAUAGUAUCGUUAGCUUUUUUGGCCGUAUUUAUAUUUGCUUGUGCCAUAGCUCAUUUAAUAUUAAUUACUAAAACUGAGGGUCAAUUUCUUGACGCCGUAAAACAAUCACCACCAAGUGUCAUAGUAGCAACAAUUUGUUUUUUUAGUGUUUGGAGUAUUUUAGGACUUGCAGGCUUCCAUACUUAUCUGACGACAAGUAACCAAACAACAAAUGAAGAUAUUAAAGGUUCAUUUACUAGUAAGCGCGGACAAGAAAAUAUGAAUCCUUACUCACAAGGAAAUGUCUGUUUGAAUUGUUUUUAUAUACUAUGUGGCCCAGUAACUCCAUCGCUACUCGACAGGCGAGGGAUCGUUACUGAUGACUAUCGAGCCGAAAUAUCACGAAACGUCAUGCCAGAAAUAAAUCAACCGAUGAAAAACUUUGGAAUUCCUAUACAAAACGGUCCGAGUCAGAUGACUCUAAACGCGUCGGAAAUGCCCGGAAUUUACCGACAGACGACGGAAACAACCGGUAUGUACAGUCCGCUAAAAAAACAUCUCUACCGCGCCCAACACAUGAUACCGUCCAAGAAUUGUGCCAGUCAGAAAAUCAUACCAUCCCAUGCCCCCUUGUUACCCCCUUAUGACUAUACUCCGUCACGUAAACCUCCCGAUCCUCCACUGGAGGUAUUCAAGAACAGUCGUUCACUUCCGCAAUUGAAAUCGCCUCCUGAAAAUGGGGGCUAUUAUCCAAAUUUGAGACCCUAUACACCGCCCGAAAAACGCUACAAUGCGAAUUUCGGCCGGCAGGGGGUCAAGCCAAGGCCGAGGAGUUGCGUGUAUGAGAAUGUUCACGUUCAGGAGGAGUUUUGCAUGAAUCGGGUUAAAAACGAUAAAGUUAGUUUGACACCAAAAGUUAAGAAUUUUCCGACUCCAGAGUUUAGUCGGAUGUAUAUUCAGGAGGGUUUUCAAGGGGGUAGUUGAGUGCGUUUUGGGGAAAGGGGCGUUGAGACGAAAAUAGAGGUCGGGGGUUUUUAAACCAUUUGGUUUUUCGAAAUUGUUUAUUUUAGAACGGAAUAAGAGUCAAAAUUGUUAAAAACCAUCAAUCAUAUUGACAGUGACGUCUUGUGCCAUGAUAUUUUUUUUUUAAUAUAUAAGCAAUAAAUUUAGCGCUUCCUGUAGUGUUGAUUGAAGUCAAGACACCAAUUUGACCCUUGACCUUUGCGACUUUUAAAAACGCACCCUUUGUAAGUCUCGACUUGCAGCAGUUGUGAUUAAAUAUCACUCCAUUUAAAAUUAGAAUUUUGAUCUUUUUAACCAUGACAUUGUGAUUAACCUCAGUGCGAUUUUAUAGGUAAUAAUAGAAAUGAAAAAUAUUUUAUUAUUAGAGUACCGUUGUAUUUAUUAAUCGUUGAAAUGAAUCAAAAGUAGUAUUCAUAAAUAAUGUGAAUUAAAUGUAAUCAAAACUCGAACAUACAACUGUGUUUUCUCGCUUUUUUAUAUCUUUUCCAACUUUUUUAUAUACCUGUUGCUUCGAGUUUUUAUUUCGUGUCUGUUAUUUAGUUUGUAAGUUUAUUUAUUGUUGCAUUGACGCGAGACGCAUUGGCGGAGGUUGUCUUAUUCGAUAGCAACGCUGGUAGUGUGACGCAUCUAGUGAGCAACGAGCAGCCCCUAGCCAUCGCUCCGGCCCUGCAAAAAUCCUCUGAGCAACAGUACGUGUCUCAGACGAGUCUGAUUCAGCCGCCGGUCUAUAGCAAU